UACGGAGGGUGCAAACGUUGCUCGGAAUCAUUGGGCGUAAAGCGCACGUAGGCGGACUGUUAAGUCGGACGUGAAAUCCCUCAGCUUAACUGAGGAAGUGCGCCCGAAACUGCCGAGCUUGAGUACCGGAGAGGGUGGCGGAAUUCCCCAAGUAGAGGUGAAAUUCGUAGAUAUGGGGAGGAACACCGGUGGCGAAGGCGGCCACCUGGACGGAUACUGACGCUGAGACGCGAAAGCGUGGGGAGCAAACAGG
rnacentral:rRNA from 1 species